rnacentral:rRNA from 1 species
GACGAACGCUGGCGGCGUGCCUAAUACAUGCAAGUCGAACGCAGUGGGGACGGGUGAGUAACACGUGGGUAACCUCCCAUCAGAGGGGAUAACACUUGGCAACAGGUGCUAAACCGAUAUUGAUGGUUGGACCCGCGGUGCAUUAGCAAGUUGGUGAGGUAACGGCUCACCAAGGCCACGAUGCAUAGCCGAUCUGAGCGGGUGACCGGCCACAUGGGGACUGAGACACGGCCCAGACUCCUACGGGAGGCAGCGGUAGGGAAUCUUCGGCAAUGGACGAAAGUCUGACCGAGCAACGCCGGGGGAGUGAAGAAGGUUUUGGGAUCGUAAAACUCUGUUGUUAGAGAAGCGGUAUCUAACCAGAAAGCCACGGCUAACUACGUGCCAGCAGCCGCGGUAAUUC